GCAAACAGGAUUAGAUACCCUGGUAGUCCACGCUGUAAACGAUGUCGAUUUGGAGGUUGUGCCCUUGAGGCGUGGCUUCCGGAGCUAACGCGUUAAAUCGACCGCCUGGGGAGUACGGCCGCAAGGUUAAAACUCAAAUGAAUUGACGGGGGCCCGCACAAGCGGUGGAGCAUGUGGUUUAAUUCGAUGCAACGCGAAGAACCUUACCUACUCUUGACAUCCAGAGAACUUUGCAGAGAUGGUUUGGUGCCUUCGGGAACUCUGAGACAGGUGCUGCAUGGCUGUCGUCAGCUCGUGUUGUGAAAUGUUGGGUUAAGUCCCGCAACGAGCGCAACCCUUAUCCUUUGUUGCCAGCGGUUCGGCCGGGAACUCAAAGGAGACUGCCAGUGAUAAACUGGAGGAAGGUGGGGAUGACGUCAAGUCAUCAUGGCCCUUACGAGUAGGGCUACACACGUGCUACAAUGGCGUAUACAAAGAGAAGCGACCUCGCGAGAGCAAGCGGACCUCAUAAAGUACGUCGUAGUCCGGAUUGGAGUCUGCAACUCGACUCCAUGAAGUCGGAAUCGCUAGUAAUCGUAGAUCAGAAUGCUACGGUGAAUACGUUCCCGGGCCUUGUACACACCGCCCGUCACACCAUGGGAGUGGGUUGCAAAAGAAGUAGGUAGCUUAACCUUCGGGAGGGCGCUUACCACUUUGUGAUUCAUGAC
rnacentral:rRNA from 1 species